CUCACUGGGGCCAGAGGGUCAGGCCGGGUGGACUGGAGUCAGGAGACACAGCUUCUCCGGGCCCUCUGCAGACUGUCUGGGGUUAGAUGGCUGUUGGCCAGCGUGCCGGGGGGCUGCAUCUUUCUAGGCUCUUCUGCAGGGCCAAGCCUGGAGCCUGCAGCUGGGAAUUUAACCAGGGCCCUCUGCUGGAAGUCUCAAGACUCUCUGUGGGGCAGAGUGUUUGUUGAACACCUACUAUGGACCAGUCACUGGAGAUUCAACAGCGAGUGAGAAAGAGCCCUUCUUGUCUUAAUGGAAACCAGAAGAUAACCUGUAAAGGCCCAGGGAUGGGACUGUCUGGUUGCUACGAGGGCAAGGUUUUCUAGGCACUUCUCUUUUCUCCUAGGGCUUUUCCUUCUACAUGAUGAUUGUUUUCAUUUUUUGGUAAUGUUCCUGAUUCCUUCAUGCACAAAGCUCAUGCAACCAACUGUGAGUUAAGAAGUGGGAUUUACUCAGGAUUCUAGGCUUCCACAGACCCCCUUGAUCAGCUAUUUGCCUCUACAAGGGGUCUAGCUUUGAUUAGCGGUGCACAGGAGGAUCACUAAUUUGGGAUAAGACAAAAUGGCUCACUGGGGAUCUGAACCCACUGUCUUUGGCAGCAUUAUGUCUACACUCUCACUAGGCUGAGAGUUAGGAAAAGGCCUCUAAAACCUGAUGACCCAUCUAUAACAUCUUCAAGGGAUUCUGAAGUUUUAAGGUAUGCACAUUUUGGGGAAUACACAUUAAAAGUAAGUUGACAAUAUAGCCUGCCCAAUAAUCAUAUUCUUUUAAUUUAAGCCCCUCUUUAUCAUGUCCACAAAAUCAUAUAUACUCAUUGUGAAAACUUCAACUAUUGAUGAGUAUAAGAAGAGAGCAAAUACUUAUUCCAUUGUGCAGAUGCAGAAAAGGUCAUCAUAAACAUUGGGGAACUAUCCUUCAAACAACUCUUAUAUUCACAAGUAGCCAGAGAAAUGGACAGACAAGAAUAAUUUUCUAGAAAUAGGAUCAUGCCUUACAAGCUAUUUUUUAAAGUUA